CAGCCAUCAGGUUAAAAAAUCAAGAUGCCUUUAAAAAAUUAAAUGUUCACAAUAGUGCUACAGCAAGCUGGAUAAAUGAUAUAUUACAGCGAUGGUUUAAAACUAAUUGAUGACUAAUGUUGUAAUGCAUUUGUAGCUACACUGAUCUAUUAUAUAUCUCGGCCGAGCUGAAGGGACACUUCAAGGAGAAAAAUUGCUAACUGUUUUAACCUGAUGGAACUCGGGGAAAAAAUAGUUACUUUAGGAGAUAAAUGGAAAGGUUGUGACCUCCUAAUGUACAUCUGGGUCUUGCAAUGCAAAAUCAAAUUAUCAUUAAACAGAAUGUGAUCGGUGAUGGAAUUAAAACAACUGCAAACCAGAAAUUUCCGUGGGGAAGCAACAAUAGCCCAGUUUGAGCUGGGAGCACUGGCUGAAAAGCUGCCUGGAUAAAGAACUGGUGUAACAAGUUGGGAUGGAAUUGUUUUGCUCUGUAAUGAAAGUUGGUUUAAUUGGAGACUGCAGGAAAAACGUGAUUUCCAAAGCUUGAGGCUAAGUAGAUAAUCCUGUGUGUCCCAAGAUAAGGAGUUCUCAGGGUGUGCUGUGACGAUGGGGACAAGGUAUCAAUGGGAACAUCCCAUGGUAUUUCCAUGAUUGCAACAGACUGUAGUUAUUUGGGGUUUAUCCAGUUUUGCUGCGACCACCUACUGACAAUGUAUCUGUCAGGAAGAAGAAAAAGCACGAAAUUCAAAUGUGCAAGAAGACGUGCAAAACAAACCCUGUGA
rnacentral:lncRNA from 1 species